GACAAUGAGAAGCUAGAACCUAAAAUAGAACUACCCAUUGUGCUUAGGGAACAAAGUUAGAAUGACCACAGACUUUUGUUGUUAUUGUUUUUCCAAUCAUUCAUUUACUGUCUGCUAAUUAUGUGCCAGGCACAGCAUUGUGUACCGGAUGUAGACUCAGGCCAUUCCAUUCGGAACUGUUGCUGCCCCCAUUUUGAAAUGUCAGAACCGAAACUCGGGCUCAACCCGUAACUCAAGUUUACUCAGAAGCUGCAAGACUAGGUUUAAUCCCAGGACUCUCUAUCCCCAAAGCCCCACAUCUCUCUCAUUUUAAAAUUUAUUUAGGGUUUUUUUUGCCUUCAGUUUUUGGAAUUUAAAGAAUUGGAGAUAUAAUUGACAUAUGACAUUAAUUUCAGAUAUACAACAUAAAUAUUUGAUAAUAUACAUAUUGCCAAAUGAUCGCUAUCUUAGCCAUUAUAUUACGAAGGCUUCACAAACAAUUUCAGCUGACACAGAGGACAUGUUCAUGUCUCAAGAGCGUGGCAGCAAACAGAUGGUGGUUCAGGCAAUCCAUGGACCUCAUAGAUAAACAUGGAAGAACUGAAGCCCAGACAGCCCAAACCGAGGGCAACCAGCGAUAUGACCCACACAACACAUGUCCACCAAUAUUGUUGGGUGUCUGCCACUGGGCUCCAUUUCUGGAACAGGUAGGGUUGAGAGGAGGAGAGCAGCAAAGAGCAUACCCCACUAGGGCAAGACCAGAGGGUUGGGCUACUGGGCAGGUGACAGGGCGGGGGCCUCAGGCUGAAGAAGCUGCCUUGGUCAGAACAGGGAUCUUGGGCUUGUGGAACGAGAUUCAGGAACAAUGAGGUACAAGAAGAAUGAAACCCAGAAGCCAGUCUUCUUCUUUGAUGAGUCAGUCACCCAGGGCUGGGCUGGGCCACAGAGCCUAUUUUUAAGCAUUAAAUGGCUCACCUCCCAGGAAAUCAGCACCUGGGAGUCUGGCAACUGGAACGAUCGGAUAGUUUCCUGAGCUCUCUAGAGGCAUCUUUCACAACUUCGGUAGUUCUCUUCCAGUGUUGAAACAGGGUUGGAAGAAGAGCAGAGCUAACAGUCCACCUUAACGAGGAAUCUGGGGAGUUGGAGUAAUUCCUUUACAAACUUGGUAAAAUGUCUUUCUUCUCGACAUGGAUCAAAGCUAUUUUUAUCACGGCCCUGGCAUUUCCUCAUUAUUCUGAAACUGGUUUUGAACCUUCACCAGAAAUUCGUAGACUCCCAAGCUGUGAUGUGUAUGUACAUCAGUUACAUUUUUGCACAAGAGAAAUGGAUCCAGUCUGUGCAACCAAUGGCCAGACUUAUUCCAAUACAUGCGUUUUCUGCAGUGAACUAUUCGAAAGUGGUGGAGCGUUUGAUUUUAGUCAUUAUGGUAGAUGCUGAUUCUGCCUGAGCUACACAUUCCAAUACCUUUUAUUGCGAUCCAAUUUUGUGGUAGAUUCUACAAGCAAUUAGAACGUCCUCAGUCAGAGUUUUAAAUUCCUAGAUAAUCAUACAAAGACUUCUAUGGCAUACAAGAUGGAAUAUAGGAUGUUGAAGAAUUUUCCCAUGAGCCUAUGAUUGAAAGGCUUUCCUUCUCUAUGUUCAAUUAUUCAAUGACAGUUGAAAAACUAUCUUAAUUUUGUGUUUCUUAACAUAAAACCCAAUACAAUUUAAAAUAAUAAAUAUUUCAAUCAAUCCAA